GCCAGGUGUGGUGGUGCACACCUGUAAUCCCAAUGGCUCAGGAGGCUGAGGCAGGAAAAUUGCAAGUUCAAAGCCAGCCUUAGCAAAGUGAGGCACUAAGCGAUUCAGUGAGACCCUGUCUCUA
rnacentral:sRNA from 1 species